UACGUAGGGGGCAAGCGUUGUCCGGAUUUAUUGGGCGUAAAGAGCGUGUAGGCGGUCAGGUAGGUCGGUUGUGAAAACUGGAGGCUCAACCUUCAGAGGUCGACCGAAACCCCCUGGCUAGAGUCCGGGAGAGGAGAGUGGAAUUCCUGGUGUAGCGGUGAAAUGCGCAGAUAUCAGGAAGAACACCCGUGGCGAAAGCGGCUCUCUGGAACGGUAUUGACGCUGAGACGCGAAAGCGUGGGGAGCGAACAGG
rnacentral:rRNA from 1 species